AUUGAACGCUGGCGGCAGGCCUAACACAUGCGAGUCGAGCGGAUGAAGGGAGCUUGCUCCUGGAUUCAGCGGCGGACGGGUGAGUAAUGCCUAGGAAUCUGCCUGGUAGUGGGGGAUAACGUCCGGACACGGGCGCUAAUACCGCAUCCGUCCUGAGGGAGAAAGUGGGGGAUCUUCGGACCUCACGCUAUCAGAUGAGCCUAGGUCGGAUUAGCUAGUUGGUGGGGUAAAGGCCUACCAAGGCGACGAUCCGUAACUGGUCUGAGAGGAUGAUCAGUCACACUGGAACUGAGACACGGUCCAGACUCCUACGGGAGGCAGCAGUGGGGAAUAUUGGACAAUGGGCGAAAGCCUGAUCCAGCCAUGCCGCGUGUGUGAAGAAGGUCUUCGGAUUGUAAAGCACUUUAAGUUGGGAGGAAGGGCAGUAAGUUAAUACCUUGCUGUUUUGACGUUACCAACAGAAUAAGCACCGGCUAACUUCGUG
rnacentral:rRNA from 1 species